GAACAAGGUUUCUGUAGGUGAACCUGUGGAAGGAUCAUUAUUGAAACCGACCCUUUUGCGUUUGGGAGUUUGGCCAGGACCUCACCGUCCGUAAGUGCCGACUCCCAAUUGCAUUCAUUCUCUCACACCCGUGACCACCUUCAGAGGCUGACCGUGAAAAGGUUGACCUACCCUUUCCUCACAAACGUGUAACAGAAUGUCAUUCGUUUAAAUAAAAAAUACAACUUUCAACAACGGAUCUCUUGGCUCUCGCAUCGAUGAAGAACGCAGCGAAAUGCGAUAAGUAAUGUGAAUUGCAGAAUUCAGUGAAUCAUCGAAUCUUUGAACGCACCUUGCGCCCCUUGGUAUUCCGAGGGGCAUGCCUGUUCUGAGUGUCUUGACACCAGUCGACCCAAAUUUGCUUUUGGGCUCGGAUCUUUGGACACCUGCGGCCCUCGUGCCGCUUGUCCGAAAUGCAUUAGCCACAAUGCGCCUCUCGCCGCCAUCGUGCGGCGAGCCUGGCAUGGGAGAGUAGGUAGACCAGCCCUCCAAACUGCUCAAAGUUGGUGCUUUGUGGCUCCAAACCGUCUUGUGCAAAAGACAACAAACCAUCAUAUUGGCCUCGAAUCAUGAGGGACUACACGCUGACU
rnacentral:rRNA from 1 species